GCGCCCGUAGCUCAGUCGGAUAGAGCGCUGGUUUCCUAAACCGGAGGUCACAGGUUCGAUCCCUGUCGGGCGUACCA
rnacentral:tRNA from 1 species